CCCCACACAUGUGCCCCACACAUGUGCCCCAGAGAUGUGCCCCAGAGAUGUGCCCCACACACAAUGUGACCCAUAGAUGUACCCCACACAUGUGCCCCACACAUGUGCCCCACACAUAUGUGCCCCAUAGAUGUUUCCCAUAGAUGUGCCCCACAGAUGAUGUGCCCCAUAGAUGUGCCCCACACACAAUGUGCCCCAUAGAUGUGCCCCAUAGAUGUGCCCCACAGAUUAUGUGCCCCAUCGAUGUGCCCAACACACGUGCCCCACACAUGUGCCCCACACAUGUGCCCCACAGAUAUGUGCCCCACACAUGUGCCCCAGAGAUGAUGUGCCCCACACAUGUGCCCCAUAGAUGUGCCCCACACAUGUGCCCCAUAGAAGAUGUGCCCCAUGGAUGUGCCCCACACAUGUGCCCCACACGUGUGCCCCACACAUGUGCCCCAUAGAUGAUGUGCCCCACACAUGUGCCCCAUAGAUGUGCCCCACACAUGUGCCCCAGAGAUGUGCCCCAGAGAUGAUGUGCCCCAUAGAUGUGCCCCAGAGAUGAUGUGCCCCAUGGAUGUGCCCCACACAUGUGCCCCACACAUGUGCCCCAUAGAUACACCCCACACAUGUGCCCCACACAUGUGCCCCAGAGAUGAUGUGCCCCAGAGAUGAUGUGCCCCACACGUGUGCCCCACACAUGAUGUGCCCCACACAUGAUGUGCCCCACACAUGUGCCCCACACAUGUGCCCCAUAGAUACACCCCACACAUGUGCCCCACACAUGUGC
rnacentral:lncRNA from 1 species